rnacentral:rRNA from 1 species
AUUGAACGCUGGCGGCAGGCUUAACACAUGCAAGUCGAGCGGAGUGAUGGUGCUUGCACUAUCACUUAGCGGCGGACGGGUGAGUAAUGCUUAGGAAUCUGCCUAUUAGUGGGGGACAACAUUUCGAAAGGAAUGCUAAUACCGCAUACGUCCUACGGGAGAAAGCAGGGGAUCUUCGGACCUUGCGCUAAUAGAUGAGCCUAAGUCGGAUUAGCUAGUUGGUGGGGUAAAGGCCUACCAAGGCGACGAUCUGUAGCGGGUCUGAGAGGAUGAUCCGCCACACUGGGACUGAGACACGGCCCAGACUCCUACGGGAGGCAGCAGUGGGGAAUAUUGGACAAUGGGCGCAAGCCUGAUCCAGCCAUGCCGCGUGUGUGAAGAAGGCCUUAUGGUUGUAAAGCACUUUAAGCGAGGAGGAGGCUACUGAAGUUAAUACCUUCAGAUAGUGGACGUACUCGCAGAAUAAGCCCCGGCA